rnacentral:tRNA from 1 species
GGACCCGUAGCUCAGCCAGGAUGGAGCGCCGGCCUCCGGAGCCGGAGGUCCCGGGUUCAAAUCCCGGCGGGUCCG